GUCUGCCUACGGGACGCAGCAGUGAGGAAUAUUGGUCAAUGGCCGAGAGGCUGAACCAGCCAAGUCGCGUGAGGGAAGACGGCCCUACGGGUUGUAAACCUCUUUUGUCGGGGAGCAAAGCGAGUCACGUGUGACUCAUUGAGAGUACCCGAAGAAAAAGCAUCGGCUAACUCCGUGCCAGCAGCCGCGGUAAUACGUAGGGGGCAAGCGUUAUCCGGAUUUACUGGGUGUAAAGGGAGCGUAGACGGCAGCACAAGUCUGGAGGGAAAUGCCGGGGCUUAACCCCGGAACUGCUUUGGAAACUG
rnacentral:rRNA from 1 species